AAUUUUUAAACAAAAAAGUUAUGGACUGCAGCUUUAAGGAAAGUUUAAAAAGACACAUCCUUAACAUCAGCCUCAUCCAUGGAGGGAAAUUAAAGCACAAACUGGUUCAUAAAGUCUAUGAUGAUGAUUUUCACUGCCAUUACUAAGAUGUAGAAACUGAUAAGGAGGGGAAUGUCACUGCACAGGAAAAGGAACUUUUAUAAUGUCUCACUCUUCAGCUUGCUUUCUGUUUCUCACACACAUAAAGUCAUCUACAUACAAACAUAAUUGAGCAUAUACAAAAUAUAUACGUAAAUGGCUCCUACAACUACAAAAAGUAAAAGCAAAGAAGGUUGUAUUAAAAGUUAAAAAAAGCAAACACAUUAAAACAUUUUUUUUUGUAAUGGUUCAAAUAAAGGAUCUCAGGUGUAUAUUCUAAAUUCGGCUAAUGAUUAGGAUUAAUCACCUGUAUGUGGCUUAUUCAUCCUAAUGUAAUCUUAAUGAAACAUUUAAGCAUCUUAAUAAGUGGAUACAAAUUGGAAAAAUAAUUUUCUAGCAUCUAAGUUUAUAUUUGACACAAUUUAAAUACAAAAGUGAAGUGAAAACAGCUGUUCUGAUGUACUGACUUCUGUAACCAUUUGUUGCAGUGCUGGUUACCUGUCAACAAACGUUUGUGGUUAAAAUAAAUGCAACCAGGCAUUCAGUCAUUCACUCUCCUGAUCAUCAUUUGGCUCUUGACUGGUAAACCUUAUAUCUAAAAUCUAAAUGCCAGGUGAUUUUUCUUCAUUCCAGAAGAUGUUUAGUCAUAAAUGCAGGGACACAUUUAAAACCAAUUAAACUUCCUGCUAAACCACAUUCGGUACAAGAGCAGCUUAGAGGAAGCUGUCUGAGGUGGCGCUAAUCUGCCUUCAAAAAAAUUGGAUUUGAAAGGCCUAGUCUCUAUUUAUUCUAAUCUACCUUCUGGUUUUUCCUGACUUCAUCAUCAUGAGACUAUCUCUGGUUUCACAUCUGCUGGUGCUCAUAUCAGUCCUAUCACUCACCAGGGCACAAUCAACAACUUCACAAACAAUAUUUCCAUUAAUAACAACACAUUCAACAACACCUGCUACAACAACAACAACAACAACAACUACAACAACAACAUCUGCACCGACAACAUUUGCAACAACAUAUGCAUCAACAAUACUUACAACAAUACCCACUACAACAACAUCUUCACUGAGAACAGCAUCUACAACGACAUCUGCAUCAACAACACUAGCAGGUAAUUAUGGACCUUUGAAUUAGAAUCAGAUCUGUGGUUUGAACUAAACAAACCCAAGAAGAACCUCUGCCACAUUUUUUAUGUAUCAUAGAAAUGUUUUAUAAUUUAAUGACAGCAUGAAACAGAAGUUGCGAUAGCCUUUCUUCAAACGUAGGGACUUGAUUUUGUUCAUUGGGAAUUGAUUGGAUGGUUGUGGUUUGCAAUUGGUCGAUCUCAUAUGAGUGACAGGUUGUUCUGCCUUCUUGCCUGUAAACGCCAUCAGAGAAGAGAAGUCACUGCAACAGGGAGAGGAAAUUAUUUUAAUCAAAGAUUAUGAGGGCACGUGAAUUAAAUACUACUACUACUAAUAAAAAUAAUAAUGAUGAUGUGCAUAGAUAUAUAAUUUAUAACAAAUACUGUAAUAUUUUAAGUAGAAUUGUCAUUUUUGAUUUCUUGGUGAAUUGAAUGCUCUUUUUUUUUUUUUACUUUAUUAGGCAUUACAACUGUGAUAUGCUCACAAGCCGUGGAUGUGAGCUGCUUAUCAUGGCCAUAUUGCCAGCACUGACAAGUUAAAGCUGUUAGUGAUGUUAUCAACCCAAAAAUUUUGACUGGAUUGAUAAAAGUAGUUAUUUUUGUUAGUUAUAAAUAUUUAAAUCAGACACAGAGAUAAAAUAAAGUGGUAAGAUUACAUUUAUUUGAUAUUUAAAUUUUAUGUUCAAGAGAGAAAAAGAAGUUCAGAUCUGCCCUGUCGGCCAAUCACAACAGACUGAGCCAUCUGACCAAUCAGAGAACAGUAGGCUCUUGGAAAGGAGGGGUUUAAAGUGAUGGAUUCUUGAUUGAACCGUUUUAGACACUGUAUUAUGAGAAAACUAAAGUUUUUUGACCUUGGAUGCAUUUAAACCUAUUGUCGAAGACCUCCAAAGCAAAAUUACGAACUUUUAAAAUAGCAUAAUAGGGGCACUUUAAUUUAUUCCUUUAUAAGAUCUGCAAUGGAAUGUUUGGCUUAUUGUGAUCCAUUAAAAAUGGUAAAUAAAUAUUAGGGGAACAUUGUUAUUACCAUCAUGCAAAAUUGUCAGUAGGGUUGUUGGGUACUCAAUUGGUUUGUCUUCUAAAUGAAGAGAUGUUUUACAGUUUGCUGUGUAUAACUUAAAAAUUAAUGGUAAGAAAAAAAGUUUUUUUUUUUUCUUUUUUUUUUUUGGACUCCACUCCUAGGUACAGGAGGUACAUAUGAAUAGUAAUUUCAAUUAUUACAUUUUGUAAUUGACUUUUUUUUUUUUUCACAGCCCUCCCAUAUG
rnacentral:lncRNA from 12 species